CCCGGCUCCGGCCAGAGUGCCCCGCAGACUGGCCCCCCGCGUCCCCGCUCGAGAGGCAGGGGAGCUCCAGACUCUAGAAAGUGCGAGAAAGUCGGCCCGGGGCGGAGAACCCGCCGGGCCCCCUGUCUCCCCUUGUUGGGCGACUCGGGGGCCCCCCCAGGGGAUGCGAAGGCGGGCGGACUGUGGGGCGAAGGCUCUGGAGCGGCUGGAAGCCCGGGCCUGUGGCCGGUGGGGCCGCCGGGCCGGGCGCCUCAGGAGCAGCGCCUGUGGGGAGUGGGUUUGAAGGAGGAAGCAGGACGCGGGAGACACGUGUGAAGCACGUUGUCGGAGGUGAAGUCUGCGGAAGCCAAGGCCUUCUCCCGGUCAGAAAAGUCGGCGGGCGGCAGAGCGCCCUGUUGGCCGGCGUUCACCUUGGCUUGGGUGGCCUGGGUGCAGACGUCCCCCGCUCAGGGUUUCCUUAGCUCCCCGAAAGUGGGAAAGCCUCACUUUUACCUGGGGCGACGUUUCAAUACACAGAUCAUAAAAUCUCAGGAGAUGAGACUUGGAGUCCACCCACAAGUUCUGAAACUCCUCUCAAGUUUGCUGAUGAUAUUUUGAGAAGUUCAACAACCUGGAUGUCCUACCAAUAUCCUAUUGAUACUUCCCUGGCUGCUGAAGCCCAGGACCUUUAAUUCAGAAACAGGGAAAACAACUGAAGCCUUCGGAGAUGGGGAUACCAUGUUUUAGGAAAAGUACAAAAUGAAGAGUAAUCUCUCUGGAAUAUGAAGAACAAGAUGGGAAGGACUGCAGACACUAAGGGAAGUAACUGAGGAGAUUCAUCGUUAGAAUUGCAAGCAGCUGGAUAAUCAGCACCAAGUUCUUAUCUCUUGCCAUCACCUGACAAGGCUGCUCAGCAGGAAUUGAAGGAUCCACUUCUGGGGUAGCCCUGAACAUGGCUGGCAGUUGGUGUAACUGCUGGCCGGGCUUUUGCUGGCAAAGGCAUCAUUGCCUUCCCCUGAGGUUUCCCUAUCCUCAUGGCAGAUGGGGUUCAGAAAUGAGUGCCCCAAGAGGCCUGAGUAGAAGCCGCAAGUCAUCUUCUGACCUGGCUUCACAUCCACCACGUUCAUUUGACCAGACAAACUCCUGCAGCCAGCCUGGAUGCCAGGGAAAGCAACCAGACUACCUCUCUUGAAGGAGGCAUGGUGAGGCGUCUGGCCAUAUGCCAUACUGAGUCUGCUC
ensembl:lncRNA